GUAAACCAUGUUCAACAAUAGUUGGUGUUGAUAAUCUGCUAGAAAAUAGGACCCAAUGCCAGGAACUGUCUUCAAGAGAAAAAGAACUUGUAGUUAAAUCCCAACUUUGUACCCAAAGAAAAAAUAGUACUUUUACAUCUGAAAACAAAAAAUCUAAAAAGUUGCGAACGAGACCGUCUCAGAAAUAUUUUUUCCAUGGUCAGCAAAUUUGUAAGAAAACUUUCUGUUUUGCAUUUGCAAUUUCUCAGUCAAUGUUGAAAAGAAUGAGUAAGUCUUAUGACAUGUAUGGCCUGAGUGUCAAUGAACAUGGUAAUUGCAAAACAACACCUGCCCAUGCACUUUCAUUCGACGAUACUACAAGAAUAAAAAAAUUCAUUGAAGAAUAUGCAAAUAAAAAUGCAUUACCUUUGCCCGGACGACUGCCUAAUUGUCCAAAGCAGACAGUUUUGCUUCUUCCAUGUGACAAAAAUGUAACUGACAUUUAUGACUUAUACAUGAAGAGUGCAAAGGAAGCAAACUAUAGAGUUGUGUCUUUAAAAACAUUUAGAAACAAAUGGAAUUCAUUAUGCCCCCACAUUGCAGUAGCUACACCAGCGACAGAUUUGUGUGUAAAAUGUCAAAAAUUCAUGGGCAAAUUAAAAACCAAUGCUCAUCUGUCAGAUGAAGAAAGGCACAACGUACUAAGUGACUAUACAUGUCAUGUUCAAAAGGCCAACCGGCAACGCCAACUUUUCAAGGACCAGGUUCUUUGUAGUAAAGCUGUGUGCAGUACUACAGAUGUCACUGAAGGUGCAGAACCAUGUUCACUAGAUGCCACACUUCACUACUCAUGGGAUUUUGCCCAGUGUGUACACUACCCUCAUCACGCCAUGCAAGUGGGGCCAAUCUACUUUGCGACACCAAGAACGUGCCAUGUGUUUGGGAUGUGCGCUGAAGGAACAGGAAUACAGAGAUUCUAUAUGAUUGACGAGUCAGAAAUGCCUGGGAAAGGUGGCGAUUGUGUCACAAGUUUGGUGCACCACUAUUUUUCUCACUUUGGCGCUUGAGAAAAACACGCAGAGAUUCACUUUGACAAUGCUGUUGGGCAGAAUAAAAACAACACCAUUCUGGGCUAUUGCAUGUGGAGAGUGUUGACAGGUCUGCAUGAGUCUGUUUCCUUGAGUAUGAUGCUACCGGGACAUACCAAAUUCACGCCAGAUUGGCACUUUGGUGUGUGGAAAAUAAAAUGGCGCCAAUCAGAUGCUGAAUGUAUGGAGGACAUUGCUUACACAGUUAAAGCAUCUUCUAGGUCCGGGCAUAACAUUCCGCAACGCGUAAAUGAUCCAUCUAGACCGGUGGUGUUUUUGAACUGGAAGACAUUCUUAGAAAACUAUUUCAAACUUUUAAAAAACAUCACAAAAUACUACCACUUUCGUUGCACUGCGGAUGAGCCAGGGGUUCUCAUUUGUCGAGAGUUCUGUGACUCGGAGGAAGUUAGAUUUAAUCUUCUAAAGGCAAGACCCGAGGCAGGCUGCCUUCCAACCGUUAAGGUUAUCCCCCCUCUAGAUCAUCUGAGGCAGUGGUAUCUUUACGAGAAAAUUGCACCGUUCUUUAUCAAUGAAGUUGCCAGAGACAUUGUGUGUCCCAAACCAUCUAUUCCAAAGUAAAAAAUGUGAGAGCUUGUUAUCCUAUUAACAAUUGUUCAUUUUCUCAAAUUGUUGUUCUUGCAUAAUACUUAUGAUAAACUGUUUUCUGAUUAGUAUUCAUGACUAUGACAUUUACAUGGUAUUAUUUGUAUGACAAUUAGCUGAAUAUCUUAUUAAUAGUGUGUUUUUUUUAUUGAAAGUGACAUAGCAAUCAAUAAUCAAAAAUAGUUUAUGGGCAUAUAUAACCUGAACUGAGAUUUAUAAUUAAUUAACAAAUCAAUCAUAGUGAUUUCACUAUAAAAUAUUCUGUACAGUAUGAUUAUUACAUUGUAUAAUAUGACUGGCAUGUGUUCAAAGAUAACUUAAACUGUUGUAGUUUGUAUUGACAUCAAAAUGUGUGAUGUAAACAUAUGUGUUCAUAUUAUGUAUCUAUUAUAUUUUACAAGUAAACGAACAUAUUUUGUUGUGUAAAGUUUAAUCUAUGGUGACGUUUACCAUUGAAUAUUGAUGUGCUUAUUGCUGUAAUUUUCUUUUAUUUGAUAAUCAUGUUUUUGGACCUCUAUAUAUGAAAUGGGUUGAUAUUAUUUUCUAUCUACACUUAUGGUCAAUUUCAUUGUUGAUAACAGGUACAAAUGAAAUUGAUAAUUUACUGUUUCCAUAGCAACUGUUAACUUAAUUUUAAAAAAUCUAAUUAAUUGUGUAUCAAUCUUUGAAUAAAAUACAAUUGCUAAAUAAACCAUGUAUGGCAGUAUAGAUGCUUAACAAAAAUUCAAAAUGUCAGUUUUUUUUUCAUUUUAGUUUCAAGUUCGUUGCUAUACAAUAUGUUCAAUUUAUGAAUACACCCCUAUUUUCAGAAAAUGUUCAUACAUUGAUUUUACUAUAAACAUGUUGGUAAUGUUUAAUAUCUGUCCAGAAGAUAUUUUGUUGAUGUGUUGUUAUUCUGUGUCUUAAAUUCUUUAAAAUGACAAUACAUUUGAAAAAAGAA